UUAACGAUUCCAGAUGAUCUCCACGAGUCAGGAAUGAGCUCUCAGUACCUCCUAUUAUUAUAUCAAAUUUCUCCAGCAACGAAUGGACUUUGAAGUCAUUUGAGUAUAUGCUCUAGUUAAUUCAUGUUGUCAGAUUAGAAGUUCUAAAUAACAGCAACUACGUUCACAAGCUUUAUCGAUUACACCAAAUGCCUUUGUAAUUCUCUGGGUUGGAAGUGCCUGUUCAACUAAGAGUGAUUGAGGUUGAUAGCAUGGCAGAUUUUAGAUGCUAAUAUAUUUAUCCCUUGAAUGCAUAUCUGUAAAAUAUA
rnacentral:lncRNA from 1 species